AUCAUGAGGAAGAAGAGCACGGUCCAAAAAGGGGCGCCGGGUAGCAUUGAAAGUGCUUUGGGGUAGGCGAUGAAGGCUAAGCCUGGACCUGGGGGCAGCAUGGAAGUCACACGUUCAAAGCCAGUGGUGGGAAAUAACAAAGUACAUAUACUUUAUGACUGUACUUCAUUGGAUGUUUAUUUAGUUUUUGAAAGACUUUUCACCCAGCGACCCUAGUGAGGAUAAGCGGUACAGAAAAUGGAUGGAUGGACUUUUUACUUCUACUCCUUUCCAGUGCUACGCGGGUUAAUAAAAAAGGGAAACUAUUUUGUGGCAAGUUAUAAAAACGGAUGUUGUAUAUAGUAAUUGACGGUAAAAAGGAUCUAUUUUUCAAAAGAGUUGAAUCAGUACUUCUACUUUCAUCAGUAUUUUUUUCACACAAGUAUCUGUACUUACAUACAAAUCUUUUUAGAAUCACUUAUUGUACCGAUUAUUCUAUUGAUUGAUCGAGUAAUGCAUGUGCAUGUGAUGUGCAGGGAUGAUUAUUGUCCACUUGGGGUCGCCAUCCUCUUGUUCCACACUGUAACACCUUUGACUUUGAGUGUUUUUGGCUUUAAAAGGUGGCGCUCGGCCCGGCUAACCGUUAACCAGUCUGCUGGUUAAAUUCCUUGGCGUUAGUUGUUGUUGUUUCUAUGGAUUAUUCGAUUAAUCGUUUCAGCCCUUAUUGCCAUCUCCGCAGAACACAAACAGGUCGCCGAGCGUGAAUGAGGACCCAGAAGUGGACCCACCGCUUGUAACGACGUCCUCCACCGCCACGUCCAAGUGAAACGCCAUGAAGCCCAGCACAGAGAACACCACGAAGCCGGCGAAGAUGCUGGUGGCGCUGUUAAGAAGGCACAGCGCCACGCAGUCCCUUUUUUGGACAGAAACAGCGCCCGAUGAUUCACUCUGGACAAAGGAGACACAUUCAUACGUGGAGAAACAGAACCCGGGCAGAUGUUUGACGCUCACAUCUCUGUGCAACAUCAGCUUUGAUAAAUCGAGUGUCUAAAGAUAGCCGGAGGAAGUCUGCGCGGGCAUGACCCCCACGGGGCGAUAACCUCCGACUCCUGACGCCUGAACCCCAAGACAGCGAGACUUCACUUUAAUAUACUGCAACACAUGAUCCCAUUGUGUUCAAGCAUGCCAACCAUCCAGCGCGGCGCAGCGCAGAAUUCCCCCUCCGGGAUGAGACAUGCAUCUUUGUCCUGACGACAUCCAUGCAUGUGCACUUUCAGCCCAUAAAGCCAGUAAAACACUUUUAAAACUGGAGGAGGUGCCUGUGACGAAUCUCUGCUCACUUUCCCUUUCUCUGUUUGUUUUUCUU